rnacentral:rRNA from 1 species
UUCUGGUUGAUCCUGCCGGAGGCUACCGCUAUUGGAGUUCGAUUAAGCCAUGCGAGUCGAGAGUCUUAGGGACUCGGCGUACCGCUCAGUAACACGUGGGUAACCUGCCCUAUGCUGGGGAAUAACCUCGGGAAACUGAGAAUAAUACCCCAUAGUUCACCACGCCUGGAACGGUGGGUGGAUGAAAGCUCCGGCGGCAUAGGAUGGGCCUGCGACGUAUCAGGUUGUAGGGGGUGUAACGUACCCUCUAGCCAUCAACGCGUACGGGUGUUGGGAGACAUAGCCCGGAGAUGGAUUCUGAGACACGAAUCCAGACCCUACGGGGUGCAGCAGGCGCGAAAACUUGGCAAUGCGAGCAAUCGUGACCAGGGAACUCCAAGUGGCUGGGGUAAUACCCAGUUUUUUCUUGACUCUUCAAAGGUCUUGGAAUAAGGGGUGGGUAAGGACGGUGCCAGCCGCCGCGGUAAUACCGGCGCCUCAAGUGGUAGUCGCUUUUAUUGGGCCUAAAACGUCCGUAGCCGGUCUGGUGCAUUCGUGGGUAAAUCAACCCGCUCAACGGGUUGAAUUCUGCGGGCACGGCCAGACUUGGGACCGGGAGAGGUGUGGGGUACUCUCAGGGUAGGGGUAAAAUCCUGUCAUCCUGAGAGGACCACCUGUUGCGAAGGCGCCACA